UGCAAGUCGAGCGAACAGAUAAGGAGCUUGCUCCUUUGACGUUAGCGGCGGACGGGUGAGUAACACGUGGAUAACCUACCUAUAAGACUGGGAUAACUUCGGGAAACCGGAGCUAAUACCGGAUAACAUAUUGAACCGCAUGGUUCAAUAGUGAAAGGCGGCUUUGCUGUCACUUAUAGAUGGAUCCGCGCCGUAUUAGCUAGUUGGUAAGGUAACGGCUUACCAAGGCAACGAUACGUAGCCGACCUGAGAGGGUGAUCGGCCACACUGGAACUGAGACACGGUCCAGACUCCUACGGGAGGCAGCAGUAGGGAAUCUUCCGCAAUGGGCGAAAGCCUGACGGAGCAACGCCGCGUGAGUGAUGAAGGUCUUCGGAUCGUAAAACUCUGUUAUCAGGGAAGAACAAAUGUGUAAGUAACUGUGCACAUCUUGACGGUACCUGAUCAGAAAGCCACGGCUAACUACGUGCCAGCAGCCGCGGUAAUACGUAGGUGGCAAGCGUUAUCCGGAAUUAUUGGGCGUAAAGCGCGCGUAGGCGGUUUUUUAAGUCUGAUGUGAAAGCCCACGGCUCAACCGUGGAGGGUCAUUGGAAACUGGAAAACUUGAGUGCAGAAGAGGAAAGUGGAAUUCCAUGUGUAGCGGUGAAAUGCGCAGAGAUAUGGAGGAACACCAGUGGCGAAGGCGACUUUCUGGUCUGUAACUGACGCUGAUGUGCGAAAGCGUGGGGAUCAAACAGGAUUAGAUACCCUGGUAGUCCACGCCGUAAACGAUGAGUGCUAAGUGUUAGGGGGUUUCCGCCCCUUAGUGCUGCAGCUAACGCAUUAAGCACUCCGCCGGGGGAGUACGACCGCAAGGUUGAAACUCAAAGGAAUUGACGGGGACCCGCACAAGCGGUGGAACCAGGUGGUUUAAUUCGAAGCAACGCGAAGAACCUUACCAAAUCUUGACAUCCUUUGACCGCUCUAGAGAUAGAGUUUUCCCCUUCGGGGGACAAAGUGACAGGUGGUGCAUGGUUGUCGUCAGCUCGUGUCGUGAGAUGUUGGGUUAAGUCCCGCAACGAGCGCAACCCUUAAGCUUAGUUGCCAUCAUUAA
rnacentral:rRNA from 1 species